rnacentral:rRNA from 1 species
AUUAGACGAAUCAUCUGGAAAGAUGAAUCAAAGAAGGUAAUAAUCCUGUAGUCGAAAAUGUUGUCUCUCUUGAGUGGAUCCUGAGUACGACGGAGCACGUGAAAUUCCGUCGGAAUCUGGGAGGACCAUCUCCUAAGGCUAAAUACUCUCUAGUGACCGAUAGUGAACCAGUACCGUGAGGGAAAGGUGAAAAGCACCCCGGAAGGGGAGUGAAAUAGAACCUGAAACCGUGUGCUUACAAGUAGUCAGAGCCCGUUAAUGGGUGAUGGCGUGCCUUUUGUAGAAUGAACCGGCGAGUUACGAUUUGAUGCAAGGUUAAGCAGUAAAUGUGGAGCCGUAGCGAAAGCGAGUCUGAAUAGGGCGUUUAGUAUUUGGUCGUAGACCCGAAACCAGGUGAUCUACCCUUGGUCAGGUUGAAGUUCAGGUAACACUGAAUGGAGGACCGAACCGACUUACGUUGAAAAGUGAGCGGAUGAACUGAGGGUAGCGGAGAAAUUCCAAUCGAACCUGGAGAUAGCUGGUUCUCUCCGAAAUAGCUUUAGGGCUAGCCUCAAGUGAUGAUUAUUGGAGGUAGAGCACUGUUUGGACGAGGGGCCCCUCUCGGGUUACCGAAUUCAGACAAACUCCGAAUGCCAAUUAAUUUAACUUGGGAGUCAGAACAUGGGUGAUAAGGUCCGUGUUCGAAAGGGAAACAGCCCAGACCACCAGCUAAGGUCCCAAAAUAUAUGUUAAGUGGAAAAGGAUGUGGCGUUGCCCAGACAACUAGGAUGUUGGCUUAGAAGCAGCCAUCAUUUAAAGAGUGCGUAAUAGCUCACUAGUCGAGUGACACUGCGCCGAAAAUGUACCGGGGCUAAACAUAUUACCGAAGCUGUGGAUUGUCCUUUGGACAAUGGUAGGAGAGCGUUCUAAGGGCGUUGAAGCAUGAUCGUAAGGACAUGUGGAGCGCUUAGAAGUGAGAAUGCCGGUGUGAGUAGCGAAAGACGGGUGAGAAUCCCGUCCACCGAUUGACUAAGGUUUCCAGAGGAAGGCUCGUCCGCUCUGGGU